CCUACGGGAGGCAGCAGUGGGGAAUUGUUCGCAAUGGGCGCAAGCCUGACGACGCAACGCCGCGUGGAGGAUGAAGACCCUCGGGUCGUAAACUCCUUUCGAUCGAGACGAACGGCCUCCGGGUGAACAAUCCGGAGGAGUGACGGUACCGAGAGAAGAAGCCCCGGCUAACUCCGUGCCAGGAGCCGCGGUAAUACGGGGGGGGCAAGCGUUGUUCGGAAUUACUGGGCGUAAAGGGCUCGUAGGUGGCCACCUAAGUCCGACGUGAAAUCCCUCGGCUCAACCGGGGAACUGCGUCGGAUACUGGGUGGCUUGAAUCCGGGAGAGGGACGUGGAAUUCCAGGUGUAGCGGUGAAAUGCGUAGAUAUCUGGAGGAACACCGGUGGCGAAGGCGGCGUCCUGGACCGGUAUUGACAUUGAGGAGCGAAAGCCAGGGGAGCAAACGGGAUUAGAUACCCCGGUAGUCCUGGCCCUAAACGAUGAGUGCUUGGUGUGGCGGGUAUCGAUCCCCGCUGUGCCGGAGCUAACGCGUUAAGCACUCCGCCUGGGGAGUACGGUCGCAAGGCUGAAACUUAAAGGAAUUGACGG
rnacentral:rRNA from 1 species